UCGUGGUUUUUGUUUUAAUCUGCGAUCCAAAUAACUUAAUUACAUUUUUUCCUGGCGUGUUUGCUUUUCAGAACCAGCAAGCUUGACUUCCUGGAUUACAUUGAUCGGCACGCGUCCACCCCUGAAAUCGCUCAAGGCAUUCGGUCCAAGUGGAAUGCGUUUAUGGUGUGCGUCGGUCGAGAAGCUGCGAAAUUGGUGCCGAGGCCAUAAAUCUUACACGAAUGCCAUGUAAAACAACCACAUCCGAAUGGGCUUUUAUGGACAUUACAUGUAAAUAAACGAUGUUGUUUACGUGUUUA